rnacentral:rRNA from 1 species
UACAGAGGUGGCAAGCGUUGUUCGGAAUUACUGGGCGUAAAGGGCGCGUAGGCGGUCUCGUAAGUCCCGCGUGAAAUCCCCCGGCUCAACUGGGGAAUGGCGCGGGAAACUGCAGGGCUUGAGUUCGGGAGAGGGAAGCGGAAUUCCGGGUGUAGCGGUGAAAUGCGUAGAUAUCCGGAGGAACACCGGUGGCGAAGGCGGCUUCCUGGACCGACACUGACGCUGAGGCGCGAAAGCUAGGGGAGCAAACGGG